rnacentral:rRNA from 1 species
GAAAUUCAUUCCGAACGGCGGAUCACUUGGCUCGUAGGUCGUUGAAGAACGACGUGACACUCGAGAAUUGAUGUGAAUUGCAGACACACGAACUUGAAUACUUUGAACGCACAUUGCAGCGUCGAUCAAACAUGUCGGGCUACGCCUGUCUGAGGGUCGUU